CCUACGGGUGGCAGCAGUGAGGAAUAUUGGUCAAUGGGCGAGAGCCUGAACCAGCCAAGUCGCGUGAAGGAUGAAGGAUCUAUGGUUUGUAAACUUCUUUUAUAUGGGAAUAAAGUGAGGAACGUGUUCCUUUUUGUAUUUACCAUAUGAAUAAGCAUCGGCUAACUCCGUGCCAGCAGCCGCGGUAAUACGGAGGAUGCGAGCGUUAUCCGGAUUUAUUGGGUUUAAAGGGUGCGUAGGUGGUUAAUUAAGUCAGCGGUGAAAGUUUGUGGCUCAACCAUAAAAUUGCCGUUGAAACUGGUUGACUUGAGUAUAUUUGAGGUAGGCGGAAUGCGUGGUGUAGCGGUGAAAUGCAUAGAUAGCACGAAGAACUCCGAUUGCGAAGGCAGCUUACUAAACUAUAACUGACACUGAAGCACGAAAGCGUGGGGAGCAAACAGGAUUAGAUACCCGUGUAGUC
rnacentral:rRNA from 1 species